rnacentral:RNase_P_RNA from 1 species
UCAGGGGAUCGGGUGAUCGCCGCCGCUUCGUGCGGGGGAGGAAAGUCCGGGCUCCACGGAAACCACGGUGCCGGGUAACGCCCGGCGGCCGCUGUUUCGGCAGCGGUCAGGGACAGUGCCACAGAGAAAAUGUCGCCCCGGUUUCGACCAGGCGAAAGGUGAAAAGGUGCGGUAAGAGCGCACCGCGCGGCUGGUAACAGGCGCGGCAUGGCAAACCCCACUGGGAGCAAGGUCGAAUAGGGAUGGCGCGCCCUCGCGAAAGCGGGGCAGGACCUGGUUCCGGUCCGACCAUCCGGGUUGACUGCUUGAGCGUGCGGGCAACCGUCCGCCUAGAUGAAUGAUCGCCCAGCCCCGGCGCAGGCCGGGGUGGACAGAACCCGGCUUACAGAUCCCCUGACCCU